rnacentral:lncRNA from 1 species
UCUUUAUUUAUUCUCUGUACCAUUUUCUUUACCUUUCUCCUGUUAGCGUUCCAAGAGAGGAAACAAAAAGGACUGCCAUUCAGUCCAGGAACAGACUGAGAUUCCCUCUACUGAUGGACAUUGCAUAGCUCCACACAUUGAGGCUCAUGGUGCUGAAUCUCCAGUUGGAGAGGUUUCUCCCUCCAUAUCUCAGCCUAUCAAAAAACGAUCCUUGAUUGUCAGGGUCUUUUCAGCAAUGAUGAAGCCAUUCAGGCGCUUCACCAAGAAGAACCUGUAACCUGUUACGCUGCAUGAAGAACUACUUUUGUAACAGCAUGACUUUUGACAAGAGGAAUUUCUGCAUGUCUACCCUUUCAAAGUCUAUUUGAUCAAAUAAAUGCAAAUUAUUUUACAAGAGUUUCAAGUGUUUUGG